CCGGUGGGUCACCGGGUCGGCCAGCGGCAACGGGCGCUCCAGCCAUUCGGCGGCGAAGCCGAUGGCGCUGCGCUCGCGUUCGAAGUGCAACUCGCAGGC
rnacentral:tRNA from 1 species